rnacentral:rRNA from 1 species
GACGAACGCUGGCGGCGUGCUUAACACAUGCAAGUCGAACGAAAAGAGGGAAAGAGCCUGCUCUUUCCGGAAUUGAGUGGCAAACGGGUGAGUAACACGUAAACAACCUGCCUUCAGGAUGGGGACAACAGACGGAAACGACUGCUAAUACCGAAUAAGUUCCAAGAGCCGCAUGGCCCAUGGAAGAAAAGGUGGCCUCUACCUGUAAGCUAUCGCCUGAAGAGGGGUUUGCGGCUGAUUAGCUGGUUGGGGGGGUAACGGCCCACCAAGGCGACGAUCAGGAGCCGGUCUGAGAGGAUGAACGGCCACACUGGAACUGAGACACGGUCCAGACUCCUACGGGAGGCAGCAGUGGGGAAUCUUCCGCAAUGGGCGAAAGCCUGACGGAGCAACGCCGCGUGAGUGAUGACGGCCUUCGGGUUGUAAAACUCUGUGAUCCGGGACGAAAAGGCAGAGUGCGAAGAACAAACUGCAUUGACGGUACCGGAAAAGCAAGCCACGGCUAACUACGUG